rnacentral:rRNA from 1 species
CAGAUUGAACCGCUGCGGCAGCCUUACCACAUGCAAGUCGAGCGGUAGAGAGGUGCUUGCACCUCUUGAGAGCGGCGGACGGGUGAGUAAUGCCUAGGAAUCUGCCUGGUAGUGGGGGAUAACGCUCGGAAACGGACGCUAAUACCGCAUACGUCCUACGGGAGAAAGCAGGGGACCUUCGGGCCUUGCGCUAUCAGAUGAGCCUAGGUCGGAUUAGCUAGUUGGUGGCAUAAUGGCUCACCAAGGCGACGAUCCGUAACUGGUCUGAGAGGAUGAUCAGUCACACUGGAACUGAGACACGGUCCAGACUCCUACGGGAGGCAGCAGUGGGGAAUAUUGGACAAUGGGCGAAAGCCUGAUCCAGCCAUGCCGCGUGUGUGAAGAAGGUCUUCGGAUUGUAAAGCACUUUAAGUUGGGAGGAAGGGCAUUAACCUAAUACGUUAGUGUUUUGACGUUACCGACAGAAUAAGCACCGGCUAACUCUGUGCCAGCAGCCGCGGUAAUACAGAGGGUGCAAGCGUUAAUCGGAAUUACUGGGCGUAAAGCGCGCGUAGGUGGUUCGUUAAGUUGGAUGUGAAAUCCCCGGGCUCAACCUGGGAACUGCAUUCAAAACUGUCGAGCUAGAGUAUGGUAGAGGGUGGUGGAAUUUCCUGUGUAGCGGUGAAAUGCGUAGAUAUAGGAAGGAACACCAGUGGCGAAGGCGACCACCUGGACUGAUACUGACACUGAGGUGCGAAAGCGUGGGGAGCAAACAGGAUUAGAUACCCUGGUAGUCCACGCCGUAAACGAUGUCAACUAGCCGUUGGGAGCCUUGAGCUCUUAGUGGCGCAGCUAACGCAUUAAGUGACCG